rnacentral:rRNA from 1 species
AGAUUGAACGCUGGCGGCAUGCCUUACACAUGCAAGUCGAACGGUAGAGUAGCAAUACUUGAGAGUGGCGAACGGGUGAGUAAUAUAUCGGAACGUGCCCAGUCGUGGGGGAUAACGUAGAGAAAUUUACGCUAAUACCGCAUACGAUCUAAGGAUGAAAGCGGGGGACUCGCAAGAGCCUCGCGCGAUUGGAGCGGCUGAUAUCAGAUUAGGUUGUUGGUGAGGUAAAAGCUCACCAAGCCGACGAUCUGUAGCUGGUUUGAGAGAACGACCAGCCACACUGGGACUGAGACACGGCCCAGACUCCUACGGGAGCAGCAGUGGGAAUAUUGCACAAUGGGACGAAAGCCUGAUGCAGCAACGCCGCGUGAGGGACGACGGCCUUCGGGUGUAACUCUUUAGUAGGAAGAGACGAA